CUAUAUAAAGCGACUCUCCUAGCAAUGCUUAUUCCACUUUAUUUUCUCCAUUGUCACCCCAGUCGUGGAAUAAAGCCAUUGCAGAUGGCAGUCUUCGCAGGACUUAACCAGUUUGCAAGGAUUCCUCCAAGGGCCCUUCAAGGCUGCAGGU